GACGAACGCUGGCGGCGUGCUUAACACAUGCAAGUCGAACGGAAAGGCCCUGCUUUUGUGGGGUGCUCGAGUGGCGAACGGGUGAGUAACACGUGAGUAACCUGCCCUUGACUUUGGGAUAACUUCAGGAAACUGGGGCUAAUACCGGAUAGGAGCUCCUGCUGCAUGGUGGGGGUUGGAAAGUUUCGGCGGUUGGGGAUGGACUCGCGGCUUAUCAGCUUGUUGGUGGGGUAGUGGCUUACCAAGGCUUUGACGGGUAGCCGGCCUGGGAGGGUGACCGGCCACGUUGGGACUGAGAUACGGCCCAGACUCCUACGGGAGGCAGCAGUGGAGAAUAUUGCACAAUGGGCGGAAGCCUGAUGCAGCAACGCCGCGUGCGGGAUGACGGCCUGCGGGUUGUAAACCGCUUUCGCCUGUGACGAAGCGUGAGUGACGGUAAUGGGUAAAGAAGCACCGGCUAACUACGUG
rnacentral:rRNA from 1 species